rnacentral:rRNA from 1 species
ACGAAGGUCCCAAGCGUUGUUCGGAAUCACUGGGCGUAAAGGGAGCGUAGGCGGCGUGGUAAGUCAGAUGUGAAAUCCCGGGGCUCAACCCCGGAACUGCAUCCGAUACUGCCAUGCUUGAGGGUUGGAGAGGUAGCUGGAAUUCUCGGUGUAGCAGUGAAAUGCGUGGAUAUCGAGAGGAACACUCGUGGCGAAGGCGAGCUACUGGACAACAUCUGACGCUGAGGCUCGAAGGCCAGGGGAGCAAAAGGGA